UAGACGACCUUUUGUCGACAUGUCAGGAAAGCGCGCCAAACUGGAAGCGUUUUUUAAAAAUUCUCAAAAAAAAAACAUCUAGUUGGGCGCGCUUUCCUUUGACAUGUCAGCAAAAGCUCAUCCA
rnacentral:pre_miRNA from 1 species